UACGUAGGGGGCAAGCGUUGUCCGGAUUUAUUGGGCGUAAAGAGCGUGUAGGCGGUUCGGUAGGUCCGUUGUGAAAACUCGAGGCUCAACCUCGAGACGCCGAUGGAAACCCUCGAACUAGAGUCCGGAAGAGGGGAAUGGAAUUCCUGGUGUAGCGGUGAAAUGCGCAGAUAUCAGGAAGAACACCCGUGGCUAAGGCGGUUCUCUAGUACGGUACUGACGCUGAGACGCGAAAGCGUGGGGAGCGAACAGG
rnacentral:rRNA from 1 species